rnacentral:lncRNA from 1 species
AUCUAUAAAAGAAAUCAUUUAAUUUGGGUCACAAUUUCAAAGGGUUUAUAGUUAAGUUAAUGGUGGCAGAAGGAAGGAGCAGCUGACAGCUCACAUUCUGAUCCACUGGGAAUGUUGAGAGUCUUCUGAAACCUCAAAGCCAUCCCCCAACAAAGCCACACCUCCCAAUCCUUCCCAAACAGGUCCACCAACUGGGGACCAUUCUCAUUCAAACCACCACACUUGGUAACUCACAAAGGACUAAAUUCCCCUUUUUUUAGUUCUGUUCCAAUAUUUGUGCUGUUAAAACAAGGCCAUUUGUGUAAGGGAAGCCAGUGUGUGCAGUUACCCAGGACAUGUGUCAUAGCUCACUCAGUCCUGGAGGGAAUAUGGACAACCACACUGACUAGAACAGUCCUGGGAAGGCUUGCUCUGAGGUUUUCUAGAAAUGUCAUAAGAAGCAGAUAGCACUGGCUUGGGGGAACUUCUAAAGCUGCCAUGACUGAUCUUGGAGAACUUAACCACAGGGUGCUUUGGGUGGGUGAUGAAGCACCCUAGACAGGCCCCUUAGAGCUCCUAGUUGAACCUGCUCCCGGAGCUAUCAUUCAUCCUGUGAUUUCACGUCUGCAGACCUGCCCUACAGAGGCUCAUUCCUCUUUCCUGGCAUCGCUAUUUCCAAAACCCAGCAGAGAGAAGGGGCAGAAGGAAAGAGCCAUGGCUCUGCGUUUUCCAAGUUCUCUCCUACUUAGGGACGUUUAGGGAUGGGUAACUCCUUGUCAAGAUGGGGCUUUCCUGGGUACACACUGUAGUGUACAUCUCUAGAUGCUGCUGUCAGCAUGUGGAGCAACCAAAAGCACCUCCAGAUGUAGAUAAGGGUUUCAGGCUACAGGGGGAUAGUGCCAAGUUGCCCCCAUUUGAGGACACUUAGACCCAUGCAAGGCACACUUGAAAUGUGUUUAGGAAAUAAAACACACAGCGUGACUGUAGAUUUUCUUUUAGUUCAGUUUAGUUUUGAGACAGGGACCUUGUAACCCAUGUUCACUCUAUAGUUCAGGCUAGCCUUAGACUUUGACAUUCCUGCCGCAGGCUGAGAGUCCAGGUAAAACCAUAUUCUUGGUUUCAUCUCCUGGCUUCCGUUCAUUUGAUAUGGUUUAAGACUUUCUACCCUUUUCUCUUGGCUUGGAAGUAGAUAGAAUAGAGGUAUAUUCCAAUAUCGUUAACUAGAAUUUAAUAAUAUCCCUCAAGUAGUCAUGAACUGUCCCUACCACACUAUCCUCAGUCGAAUGUGUCCCUUUUUGAUUGAAUAAGAAAAAAAAAACUUUAAUUUUUUUUUUUUUUUUUGCCUUACUCCAUUCUAUCCAGUGGUGUUUGAAACACAUUCAAUAUGGAGGCUCCUGUCAUGUUGUGUUCUCAUUCUCAUUCUUACUUUGUGUCACUUCUUUUCCUGUGUCAAACAGUGG